rnacentral:misc_RNA from 1 species
AAAGUCGUAACAAGGUAACCGUAGGUGAACCUGCGGUUGGAUCAUUACUGAUUUUUGCUGUUUCGGUCGAGUAUUGAAAAAUAUUCCCGAAUGGCGAUCUACCACUGUGCAUUAUACUGUCUUUGCUCUUGUCCUUUGGGCAAGAGCGACUUGAACCACUUGAACCAUUCGUCUGAAAAUCUAGUAAUAGAAACAACUUUUGACAACGGAUCUCUUGGCUCUC